AACGCUAGCUACAGGCUUAACACAUGCAAGUCGAGGGGUCUUUUGGAGCUUGCCUUUAAAAGCGGCCGGCGCCCGGGUGAGUAACGGCGUAUCCAACCUUGCCUUCAUAUUGGGAUAGCCUUCCGAAAGGAAGAUUAAUACCGAAUAACAUGAGAAAGUUGCCUGAUUCUCUCAUGAAAGCUCCGGCGAUGAAGGAUGGGGAUGCGUUCCAUUAGGUAGUAGGCGGGGUAACAGCCCACCUAGCCGACGAUGGAUAGGGGUUCUGAGAGGAAGGUCCCCCACACUGGAACUGAGACACGGUCCAGACUCCUACGGGAGGCAGCAGUGAGGAAUAUUGGUCAAUGGGCGCAAGCCUGAACCAGCCAAGUAGCGUGAAGGAUGACUGCCCUAUGGGUUGUAAACUUCUUUUAUACGGGAACAAACCUCGGUACGUGUACCGAAUUGCGUGUACCGUAUGAAUAAGCAUCGGCUAACUCCGUGCCAGCAGCCGCGGUAAUACGGAGGAUGCGAGCGUUAUCCGGAUUUAUUGGGUUUAAAGGGAGCGUAGGUGGUCUGUUAAGCCAGCUGUGAAAUACUGUAGCUCAACUACAGCCGUGCAGUUGGAACUGGCGGACUUGAGUACACUAGAGGAAGGUGGAAUUCGUGGUGUAGCGGUGAAAUGUUUAGAUAUCACGAAGAACUCCGAUUG
rnacentral:rRNA from 1 species